UUGGCCCUGAAUCAAGGCCAGCAGUUUGCUGAAGCUGUUGGUUUCAAACAGGAGCCUAAAGAAGUCUCUUUCCACUGAUGUACAGAACAGUCUUAUGGACUCUGUGGGAGAGGGAGAGGGUGGGAAGAUUU
rnacentral:snoRNA from 1 species